GGGAAACUUACCAGAUCAAGGCAUAGUAAGGAUUGACAGAUUGAGAGUUCUCUCUCGAUUCUAUGGGUGGUGGUGCAUGGCCGCUCUUAGUUGGUGGAGUGAUUUGUCUGGUGAAUUUCGUUAACGAACGAGACCUGAACAUGUUGAGUAGUGAAUCGUAACCUCGGUUGCGUUGGAAUCUUCUUAGAGGGACUUUGUGUGAUCAACGCAAGGAAGUUUGAGGCGAUAA
rnacentral:rRNA from 1 species